CAUGGAUUUGACAGCAAGUCGAGGUGGUGUGUAAGCAUGCAGAGCGUCGAUGAUAGGCUCUUUAAUCCCUGCAUCAUACAGUUUAUCUGGCAACAACACUUAUGCUCUCGCAGCUUAACCGAAGUACAGUAGGUUAACUUUAUUCCUUUGUUAGACAUUGGAACGAGACGUCGCCCUGAAAGUUCCCUUCCUGAAACGGUCAGACCAGCGGCGCAGGAAAUUCAGGAAUAGUCUAUGAUGGCCUCGCGUCACAGAUGAAACUCAUAGAGGAUAAGGCUAUGAUCUGGUGGUUCAGGUCGUGUCAUAGCACGAAAAACAAAACUGAACUAAGCAUGUAGAAAGCGCAUGGCUUCCUUGUUUGGACGAGGGUUCAAUCCCCUCC
rnacentral:tmRNA from 1 species